rfam:Biomphalaria glabrata isolate BB02 unplaced genomic scaffold LGTN_random_Scaffold2104, whole genome shotgun sequence.
UUGCUGUGAAGAAAUAACCAAAGAAUGAUAUUCUUGAUUUUAUAUUACGCUAUUCUGAGCUUCCU